CCUACGGGAGGCAGCAGUGAGGAAUAUUGGUCAAUGGCCGCAGGGCUGAACCAGCCAAGUCGCGUGAGGGAUGACGGUCCUAUGGAUUGUAAACCUCUUUUGUCAGGGAGCAAAGUGCGCCACGUGUGGCGCUUUGCGAGUACCUGAAGAACAAGCAUCGGCUAACUCCGUGCCAGCCGCCGCGGUAAUACGGAGGAUGCGAGCGUUAUCCGGAUUUAUUGGGUUUAAAGGGUGCGCAGGCGGAAUGUCAAGUCAGCGGUAAAAUUUCGGGGCUCAACCCCGUCGUGCCGUUGAAACUGGUGUUCUGGAGUGAGCGAGAAGUAGGCGGAAUGCGUGGUGUAGCGGUGAAAUGCAUAGAUAUCACGCAGAACUCCGAUUGCGAAGGCAGCAUACCGGCGCUCAACUGACGCUCAUGCACGAAAGCGUGGGUAUCGAACAGGAUUAGAUACCCGGGUAGUC
rnacentral:rRNA from 1 species